GUGUUAUUUCAUUCCGAAAUUGCCCUCUCUCUUCAGCCACUUCAGCGUCCACAUCAGAAGGCCUACAAAACCAAAAAAAUUCAGAGUCUCACUCGCUCGAUCACCCAGCCUUCUUUUCCAAUGGAUAAAGCUCAGUUUCUUCUGGUAGGGUUACCUCUGUUUCUCUUCUUCUCAGACAUCAUAAAUCUUUUCACGCCAUUGCCUCCAAAGCCACCGCCGCAUCAUCACCACCAGCAACCCCAACCCAAACCCCAAUCGGCUCCUCUAGAUUUCCCCACAUAGAAAGAGAGUGGUAUUGGAGGUAUUGGCUUCGGCAACACCGUCAAUAUUAAUUUAUGUUCCUCUUGUUCCUACAGCAGCCACCACGGUCUCCAUGUAAGCAGCCACGGGUCUCCAAAAUUGGCCAUGUAAUCAGCACUCAAAUCUGAACCGAAAAGAACCCGAUCAGAGGAAACAUGGCAUGAGGCUGCAAGAGAAACACGGGCCCUUAAAGAAGCUAAGGACAAGCUACAAAAACGGGUGGAGGAAUUUACAUGGAGAUUGCAGUUGGAGAAGCGAUUAAGGGUAGUGUAGAUAUUUUUUCCCUCUUCAUAAAUGUAUAUAUUAUACAUAUAUAGUCCAUCAAUUAGGGUGUUUAGAGUUGUUGUAGAUCAGCUAGUCCCCUAUGUUAACUAAUGGAACUCCAGAAGGGAGAAAGUCCACCACCAAAAUUUUGCUCACAUAUAAUCUAUAAUAUUUUCUUGAUUUUCAAUUUUAAGUUUUAUUAUCCACAAUUGUAUUUUGUGUCCCACCAUCUUUCAAAUGUCUCAGGAUUCAAGUCUUGCCCUUUCUUCUCCACGGGAACCUCAAUCUGAGGAAAAGCCCCAGAAAUCUCUCAUUGAAAAGCAGCAGGUGGAUAUCCUCUUUCAGUCUUCCUCUUUCUUCAUGCUAAUUAUUUUUUCUGGUGCAGGAAAACCAAGACCUGCUAAUCAAGUUUAUUUCACAAGAUCUAGGAUUCUCUGGGGGCAGGCCUAUUGCUGCUUGCCUGAAUUACAAAUCCCUUCUCCAAUGAAGGUCAUUUGAGGUUGAAAGAACCAGUGUAUUUGAUCGUAUCAUUCAGACAAUAGGUGCAGCAAUAGAGGGGCUUCGUGCAUCUCCACAAAGUGCUGGGUUCUCAUUUCUUAAUGGUCGGGUGCUUGGUGGACUGGAUGACUUGAGACAAGUUGAAGCCAAAUAUGCAGCUUUUCUUUUUAAACAGCAACUCACAACCUUCCUUGAGAAUAGAUAUGGAAUGAUAAGAGACAAUUUAAAGAAAUAUUUCCCCAUUGCUUGGAUUGUGUAUUCAGGAAAUUCUUCUUAGCAAUAGUUAAUUUGAAACAAAAUAUGAAUGGUAUGACUAGUUCCAUUUAAUAUUCAAUAGCAACUCAAAUUUUAGACA